ACCUGCCCUAUGAAUGAUUUGUUUUUAAAUGGCCGCGGUAUUUUGACCGUGCAAAGGUAGCAUAAUAAUUAGUUUCUUAAUUGGGAACUGGAAUGAAUGGUUGAACGAGAAAAAGACUGUCUCAAUUUAAUUUAAAUUAGAAUUUUAUUUUUAAGUAAAAAAGCUUAAAUGUAUUUAAAAGACGAGAAGACCCUAUAGAGUUUUAUAUAAGUGAUUGUAAUUGAAAGUUAAAGUAUUUUAGAUUUAGUUAUUAUUAUUUAUAUUUGGUUGGGGCGAUUUAAAAAUUUAAUUAACUUUUUUUAUAUAAAACCAUUAAUUUAUGAGUAGGUGAUCCAUAUUUUAUGAUUAAAAGAUUAAAUUA
rnacentral:rRNA from 1 species